AAGGGUGUAGCUUAGUGGUGGAGUGCCUGCCUAGCAUGCAUGAGGCCAUGGGUUUGAUCCCCAGCACUGUAA
rnacentral:tRNA from 1 species